CUAGGGCGGGAGGAAAAAAAAAACUACACGUUCAUUGAGGGUGGGCAUCUCAUGCUCCCUUUCUUAGUCCCGCCCCUUUUAGUGAUUGGUCGAACGGCUGAGUGUAUUCGAGCGCCCGAGAGCGGGAGAAGCCCAUUGAUCGCGGCAGAUCACGUGCGCAGAAGGGGCGGAGCGAUGGAAGAGUGCCGAGGGAAGACAUGGCGAGGGGAGCAGCUGGACGGCCUGCAACGUGGAUCUGCCUCCAUCCGAAGCGGAGGAUCGAUGAAGGCCGCCGGGCUCGGUGCGGCCAUGCGGGGGAACACUCGGCUUCACCAAAGACCAUUGGGAUGAGAAUUUCUGACCCAGGUCAUCGGUCGCUAAGGGAGUUGCACCCAAUUUUUGCCAUGGGUGUUAAGCGAAUCAUGUGGGCGUACAGCAGAUCCGGCUUCCGCUAUUGAUGAUGGCUACGGGAAGGUGUCAUUUUGCCAAAUCCCCCGAAUUUGGCCCGCACGACCAUGGGUUCUAUACUGUUGUGCGAGGACUCCUCAUGAUUCGCUUUGUUUCGAUGACGGUUUUAACUUCCAACAGUCGCUGAAUGAAUGAGAAUCUAACUGUCUCUCCUCACCGUGGUGCUUCUCCUGUUGAAGGUGCCUUCGGGAUGUGUGGGACACCAAUUACCAUCAUCCCCGGCCCUUCUGGUGCUUACUCAGUGGCCGCUUUCGCACAACCCCAGAAGGCGGGUGUGAGUUUGUUCGGCUUCUGUCCUCACCACUUCAAAUGAAGGUGGAAUUGGCUUCCUCCGAAGUUGCUUCUCUUCACUCAAGAUGGUUUUGUUCGCAAGUCAGCUUUGAAGAUUCGGCUCUGGUAAAACGUGGUUGCUACCUUUCGAAACUAUUUACACCCAGGCAACACACUGUUUAAUUGAAAAAUAAAACUUUUGACAUGUUGAAAAAAAAUAAA